rnacentral:rRNA from 1 species
UAGGGAAUCUUCGGCAAUGGGGGGAACACUGACCGAGCAACGCCGCGUGAGUGAAGAAGGUUUUCGGAUCGUAAAGCUCUGUUGUUAAGGAAGAACGAGUGUGAGAAUGGAAAGUUCAUACUGUGACGGUACUUAACCAGAAAGGGACGGCUAACUACGUGCCAGCAGCCGCGGUAAUACGUAGGUCCCGAGCGUUGUCCGGAUUUAUUGGGCGUAAAGCGAGCGCAGGCGGUUAGAAAAGUCUGAAGUGAAAGGCAGUGGCUCAACCGUUGUAGGCUUUGGAAACUGUUUAACUUGAGUGCAGAAGGGGAGAGUGGAAUUCCAUGUGUAGCGGUGAAAGGCGUAGAUAUAUGGAGGAACGCCGGUGGCGAAAGCGGCUCUCUGGGCUGUAACUGACGCGGAGGCUCGAAAGCGUGGGGAGCGAACAGG